UACGAAGGGGGCUAGCGUUGUUCGGAAUUACUGGGCGUAAAGCGUGUGUAGGCGGCCAUAUAAGUCGGAUGUGAAAGCCCUGGGCUCAACCCAGGAAGUGCACUCGAUACUGUAUGGCUUGAGUACUGGAGAGGUUGGUGGAAUUCACGGUGUAGAGGUGAAAUUCGUAGAUAUUCGCAAGAACACCAGUGGCGAAGGCGGCUCACUGGCCCGAUACUGACGCUGAGGUGCGAAAGCGUGGGGAGCAAACAGG
rnacentral:rRNA from 1 species